UGGUGGAGUGAUUUGUCUGGUUAAUUCCGAUAACGAACGAGACCCCGGCCUACUUACUAGAUCACGGAUCCUUUCGUCCGUGCGUCUUCUUAGAGGGACA
rnacentral:rRNA from 1 species